UGGGGAAUUUUGGACAAUGGGGGAAACCCUGAUCCAGCCAUCCCGCGUGUGCGAUGAAGGCCUUCGGGUUGUAAAGCACUUUUGGCAGGAAAGAAACGUCAUGGGUUAAUACCCCGUGAAACUGACGGUACCUGCAGAAUAAGCACCGGCUAACUACGUGCCAGCAGCCGCGGUAAUACGUAGGGUGCAAGCGUUAAUCGGAAUUACUGGGCGUAAAGCGUGCGCAGGCGGUUCGGAAAGAAAGAUGUGAAAUCCCAGAGCUCAACUUUGGAACUGCAUUUUUAACUACCGGGCUAGAGUGUGUCAGAGGGAGGUGGAAUUCCGCGUGUAGCAGUGAAAUGCGUAGAUAUGCGGAGGAACACCGAUGGCGAAGGCAGCCUCCUGGGAUAACACUGACGCUCAUGCACGAGAGCGUGGGGAGCAAGCAGG
rnacentral:rRNA from 1 species